rnacentral:rRNA from 1 species
UACGGAGGAUGCAAGCGUUAUCCGGAUUCAUUGGGUUUAAAGGGUGCGUAGGCUGGCUAUUAAGUCAGUGGUGAAAUCCUGCAGCUUAACUGCAGAACUGCCGUUGAUACUGAUAGUCUUGAGUUUGGUUAAGGUAGGCUGAAUGUGUAAUGUAGCGGUGAAAUGCUUAGAUAUUACACAGAACACCAAUUGCGCAGGCAGCUUACUGAGCCGACACUGACUCUGAGGCACGAAAGCGUGGGGAU